GUUGAGCAAUUGGUGUGGUAACUGCUCAAUGCAGCCCUCCUGCUGAAAUGAGGAUCCUGCUGAAAGAACCGGCUCUUCUGCUGGGCGAGAUGAAAGCGUUCAUCUUCUCCGGAGAACACACGAAGUCCUCACCUUGCAAGCAGAGACCAGGCCCUCCCCAGACACUGAGCUUGGUGGCACUUGGAUUUUGGACUUCCAGCCUCCAAAAUUGUGAGAAAAAGUGCUGAAUAUCACAGAACACAAAGAAAAGAGAAAGAGAAACUGACAGAGCCUAUAAAUGUUGCACGAAGGUUCAGAUACAUACAGUUCUGCUGGCUUUUUAAGGAGCAGUGUUUCCUAUAUCCUAAGGCAGAUGGACAUGUUGGGAUGGAGGGACAUGGAUGGAGCUGGAAGCCAUUAUCCUCGGAAAAUUAACACAGGAACAGAAAACCAAACACUGCAUGUUUGUGGGAGCUGAACAAUGAGAACACAUGGACCCAGGGAGGGGAACAACACACACUGGAGCCUGUUGGCGGUAGUGGGGGUAUGAGGGAAGGAAGAGCAUCAGAAAAAAAUAACUAAUGUAUACUGGGCUUAAUACCUAGGUGAUUGGUUGAUAGGUGCAGCAAACCACCAUGGCACACAUUUACCUAUGUAACAAGCCUGUUGCACAUGUAUCCCGGAAUGUAAAAUAAAAUAAAAUAAAAUAAAUAGUACCCCAAAUGCAGUGCAGGACUCUGGAUUCAAUUCUGGAACAGAGAAAGGACAUUUGUGGGAAAAAAAGGGGUGCAAUCUAGGGUCUUUAUAUAUAGAUAAUGGUACUGUAUCAAUGUGAAUUUCUUAGUUUUGACUAAUGCACUAUGGUUAUGUAAGAUAUUAGCAUUAUGGGAUGCUGGUCAAGGCCAGAUGGUGACUUUCUGCACUCUUUGUAAUGUUUUUGUAAAUCUAAAAUGAUUCCAGAAUAAAAGGUGUAUUUAAGAAAUGGGGGAAAAAGAUAAGCAGCUCUGGGCCUUGGAGAGAGAUACAAAAAUUAGUAGCAAUUGAAAAUAAUUGAAGCCUCACCAGUAAAUAAGACAAUACAGAAAGAGUGACAGAACCUUCAUGAAUUCAUGAGAAUAAAUGCUAAAUUGCCGUAACUUAAAGACCCUGUAAUACCUUGACUCAGAGGACAAAGAAGUUUCAUUUUUUCUUCCUUAACAGUCCCAAUGUGAAGAGACUCAGCUGGUAGGAUAGCUCAACUCUACUUAGGCUUUUAGGGACAGUUAUGUUUGGGUGAUCUGCAAUCCCAUAGGUGUCAUCGCUAGCCUGGUUAAAACUAGAGUACUGCCUUCUUUGUAUUCUUGUCAUUUGUGCCAAUCAAUUGUAACUGGAGAGAGAGAAUAAAAAAGAGUGUAUCUACAGGUGCAUAUUAGUUCACAGGUUUGGUGGUAGAAGUUAAGGAAACUUCCCUCUGUGAAGGAACAAAAUCAAAGUCAUCUGUUUGCGAUCAAGAGGGGCAUGGCAGGGUUAUAC
rnacentral:lncRNA from 1 species